GAAGUGCGAUAAGCAGUGCGAAUUGCAGAACCGUGAGUCAUCAGAUUUUUGAACGCAACCGGCGCCGCGUGGGCUCGCCUGCCGGCACGCCUGGUCCAGUGUCUUGUUCUCUCCUCACCAAAAUCUUAAUGCGAGAGAUGCCCUUCUCUUGCUAAGCAUGAAAGCACUCUGCGCUCUGCGAGCGGCCUCCGGGUCGCACUCAAUGCAGCAGUCACAUUGCUUACAGUGUGAACUCAUUGAGAGUGGACGCAGCGCGGCAACGGCUGCCAGUGCUUAGUCACAUCAACUUUGGAAGCGCAUCUGGGCUCAGGUGGGACCACCCGCUGAACUUAA
rnacentral:misc_RNA from 1 species